GACGAACGCUGGCGGCGUGCUUAACACAUGCAAGUCGAACGGUGAAGCGCCUUCCUUUUUGGUGGGUGUGGAUGAGUGGCGAACGGGCGAGUAACACGUGAGUAACCUGCCCCCUUCUUCUGGAUAACCGCAUGAAAGUGUGGCUAAUACGGGAUAUUCUGGGUCUGUCGCAUGAUGGGUCUGGGAAAGAUAUUGUUUCGGUGGGGGAUGGGCUCGCGGCCUAUCAGCUUGUUGGUGGGGUGAUGGCCUACCAAGGCGGUGACGGGUAGCCGGCCUGAGAGGGUGGACGGUCACACUGGGACUGAGACACGGCCCAGACUCCUACGGGAGGCAGCAGUGGGGAAUAUGGCACAAUGGGCGCAAGCCUGAUGCAGCGACGCCGCGUGAGGGAUGGAGGCCUUCGGGUUGUGAACCUCUUUCGCCAGUGAAGCAGGCCUGCCUCGUUUGUGGGUGGGUUGACGGUAGCUGGAUAAGAAGCGCCGGCUAACUACGUG
rnacentral:rRNA from 1 species